rnacentral:tRNA from 1 species
GCCUGGGUGGCUCAGUCGGUUGGGCGUGGGACUUUGGCUCAAGUCAUGAUCUCACAGUUCGUGGGUUCGAGCCCCACGUCAGGCU